CCUGGGGAGGCGAAGCAGCCCGGGUGGGGGCGUUCGCUGGAAACGGGGCCCCUCUGAAGGGCGUGGGCAGCCGGUGCCUGCAGAGCGUGGAGAGCUGCGGCCGCCUCACCUGACACAAUUGGGCAGCGAUUUCUCAGGUCCAAAGAGCGGACCCCGUGGGCACUUUCCUGACGGAGGACUCGGCUCCUGGGAGCUCCGGCAACAUCAGCGACAGUGGAGCCCGGUCUCAAAAGACCGACCCGGCGGCCUGAGAAGAAGGAAGGAGGCCGAGGCGCCGCAGGGACCCUGGCACCUGCCCCUGACGCAGGAGUGGACGCGAAGGUCCUGAGUAUCACAAAAAGUCCCCAACUCCCAACUUCAGAAGAGGAGGUUAAGUGCUGAUGAAGAGUGAGAUAUUAUCUUUGAGAAACAAGAAAAUCCGUGCUAAGAAGAUGAAGAAAAAAAAGGCGAGUGAAUAUCGUGAUGGGUGCAGUUAUGCUGAAUAAUUGGAUGGGAGGACGUGCCAGGCGAUCUCCAGCCCCUGGGAGCCGGACGCCCACGCCUCCCUCUGCCUCGUUCUCACAGACACAUUUGUGGGGUGAUUAACUCAGGAAUUCAUGCUGCUCAAAGUAACUACAGUGGUGAGUGUUUUGACCGGUUUGAUGUAGAAAUCAAGGAAAACACCAGAAAAAUCAGGGGCGGAGGCCCAAAAUCCCUGGCAGGCUUUGGGCGGGUAAUAAACACACGGCAGGCUAUAAAAGCAGGUGAUUUAAAGGAAGGCAAGUGUUUCAGCACAGCUGGUAUUUUAAAAUCUGACAUUAUUUUCAGUAUUUAUUUUAAAUCUCAAUGCUUAAAUUGAUUUAAGAAGGUCAAAGAAUAUGCUCCACUUUCCCUCUCACAUGUAGAGAAUCAGGAUGACCCUCAAAAAUAAAGAAAGGAAGAAUUGCCAUUCGUUGGCUUUGAAAAGAGGAAGAAAGUUAUGUGCACCGUCCACCGAGGAAUGAAUGACACCCCGAUUCUGAGCAUCAAGGAAGCAGAAAUGGGAAAUAAAAUUGAUGCUGUACGUGAAUUUUUUCCAGACAAGCUUGUCCCAGAACCAGGUGCUCACCCAGUCCCUUGGAGGAUGGCGGGCUUUAGUGACCGUGGCUGCAGAAGCACCUCUCGCUUCCGGGCUGUACUGUAUGUAAACUGAGGUGUGCAUUCUUACCGCUUGUCAAAACAAUCCUGAAAUCCCAUUUUCCUUUAAUAAAGUAUAGUUUUGUCCUCCAGAUGUAUGCUUGAAUAAGAUGUCAUACUCUGUUUUUGUUCCGGAUUGCACCCUGCUGAUGUUCUUAGGCAGCAAGAAAAUUACCUUAUUGAAACAUAUUGCUGGGAGUGACGACGGUGCCAAAUUUUGCAUUGGUAUUACAC
rnacentral:lncRNA from 10 species